CAAAGACGUUUAAAUAUAAUUACUAGACGGAAAGCAGCACGCGCGGAAACCAUGCAGACGAAUGGGAUUAGGCUCCGCCUCUUUUGGAUCAUUUGAAGACAAAAUAAGCUACCGAGGCGGCUUUUUGAUUGGAUAUGAGCCUCAUGAAUAUGUAUUUUAUCGAUAGUAUCGUUUAAGAAACCGGAUAAUAUAUUUGACCUCAUUGCGUCACUUUAAUUAUGCAGAUUUAUGCACGACGCUACUACACUCGCACAAACUGAGAAGAGUUAGUUCAUUGAGAAUGGAAUGAAACUGAUGAAGAUCUGGAAGGAGUUAACUGAUGAGUGGACAUUAAAACAUUUCUUAUAUUUGCAAGAUGAAGCAGAAAGUCCCAUGCAGGAUGAUGCUUCUCUACAGUGGACGAUGAAGGCAUGCUGGUUUACAAACUCAGGAGAGGAACAAAGAACAGAUAUUGACGGAUCAUAUCUAGAAAUGCGGGCCUACUACACUUCAUACAAGCAAGUGUGCUAAUAUACAUACUUGGGUUAUCAUUACAGCCCUUUCUUCUGAAAACUAGGCUACAACUU